UGUGGGAGCGAGCCUGCUCGCGAAAGCGUCGGGUCAGUGACAUUAAAGUUGGCUGAUACGCCGCUAUCGCGAGCAGGCUCGCUCCCACC
rnacentral:misc_RNA from 1 species